UCUCUUUGGGAGACUGUAGUUUCAGCAUCAUGGGCCCCUUGUCACAGGCUCCAUGAGCAGAAGAGCAGAGGAGCAGAGGAGCAGAAGAGCAGCAUGGCAGAGGAGGAGAGAAGAGGAGCAUCUGAACAUCGAGAGGAGUUUGGCUGUGAUUGGAUGGAAAGAAGAUUGGCUGCAGGAUGGGUGAACUCCAGGCGAAGGUCAUCUUCCCACUCCAUCCCCUUUGCAGCUCCCCGUCCAUUCCGCUGAGAAUCACCUCCAUCUGGCAAUAAAAUCCCUCGCAUUUACCACCCUUCACUUUGUCCAGGUGACCUGAUUCUUCCCAGAUGCCAGACAAGAAUCCAGGUACCAAGAGGGCACUGAUCUGGUUAACUCUUAAGCUGUCUGCAGUUGGGAGAGCUAAAGGAGCACUGUAACAUGC
rnacentral:lncRNA from 10 species